CAGGGAAUCUUGCGCAAUGGGCGAAAGCCUGACGCAGCGACGCCGCGUGGGGGAAGAAGGCCUUCGGGUUGUAAACUCCUUUUCUGGGGGAAGAAAACAGACGGUACCUCAGGAAUAAGCCCCGGCUAACUACGUGCCAGCAGCCGCGGUAACACGUAGGGGGCGAGCGUUGUCCGGAUUUACUGGGCGUAAAGGGCGUGUAGGCGGUUAGGGUAGUCCUUGGUGAAAUCUCCCAGCUCAACUGGGAGAGGUAUGAGGAUACUCCCUGACUUGAGGGCAGUAGAGGAGAGCGGAAUUCCCGGUGGAGUGGUGAAAUGCGUAGAUAUCGGGAGGAACACCCGUGGCGAAAGCGGCUCUCUGGGCUGUACCUGACGCUGAGGCGCGAAAGCGUGGGGAGCGAACCGG
rnacentral:rRNA from 1 species